AUAUUCUUAAGUGCGACGUUAAACCUAACCUCAACUCACCUCAAAUCAACUCAACUCAAAUCAACUCAUAUCCAGACAUACCAUCAAUACAAAACGUCCAUAUGUCAAAAUCUACUAAGGUUCUCCAUCUGGAACUUCGAAGACAUGUUUUGAUAUUUUCACAGGCUGACCAUAAAUAUGUACACUGAACAUUGCAGAUCAUAUGACAACCACUGACACUUUCUUGAUGUUGAACACUGCGAAACAGAAUGUACGGAAACACACAAUCUCUCAUUUCAUAUCUCAUAAGAACAUGAUGGGAACUGCGGGCUGCUUCAUUCUGGCUCCAUCCACAUUAUAUCAGUAAAUGGUUUGAUUUAGUAAUGGAUUACUGUGGUGCUUGUGUGUCAAGAAUGCAUGCGUGCUUUUUCAUAAGUCCAAGUGUAUGAUAGUACAAGAGGUGCACCGGGACACCCGUGCAUGUUUCAGGAGAUUUCUCAUUGACUGCAUGCAUGAUUAAUCGAUUAUAUUCUUCCACUUGUAAUUUGGAAAAAUGGGUGAUUUGUUCAACAUCUCGUGAACCAGUUAAUUUUUCAAUUUUGCCAAACAUACUACUGAUAACAAGUACUGUUCUGUAACUGCAUUUGUGUUGCCGAAUACACUUUCAGCUUUGCAAGAUCGGACAUACGAACUUGUUGGACAGAUGAUUGCAUACUCUAUUGUGCACGGUGGACCACUACCCAGUUUCCUCCAUCCACUUCUGUGUGAUGCCAUGGUCCAUGGCAUAGACAGCGUUCAGCCAACAACAGACCACAUUAUGGACCACGAAUACAGGGAUCAAGUGGUGAAGUUAUCUCAGGCCGAGGAUUACACGGCCUUUGAAGACCUGAUUCAGAUGGCAGGUUGUAUAUCCAUGGUCCAUACGCUGAGCAGGCG